AAGGGGUGUUUACUGAACAUUUUUUUGCAUUUUCUUACAAUUUUGAUUUGCAUUAUUAGGUUGAUGGAAUAGGUGCAGUUAUAGUUAAAAUACCUAUCAGCAGUAAGUGGUCAGUACUCACUACAGUUGGUUGAUGGAAUAAUUUGUUGUAACUACGAUCAGUAAGUGGCCACUGGCCAGUGCAGUUGGUUGAUGGAAUAAUUUGUUAGCGAUCAUCAUAUGGCCUCGACUAGCUCUUCAAGUGUGCACGUUCUCAGCAUCCAGCAUCCCUUCACUUGCGUUGGCAGGGUGUAUGCCGUGCGAGCUAGCUUGGUCAAAUGAUUUCCCCAGAAGUCUUGUCCUAUCUUCCUAGUUUCAUUUAGUCGGUAUCAAUUCAUACAUAAAGAAAAGAUAAUGCAGAAGCUAUGCACACCUACCCACAACAGCAACAUCAUGUAUGUAGCAGGCCUACAGGGGUUAGAUUGGGUUUGACUUGAGCAGGUCAAAACUACUUUCCUACUUAUUUGUCGAACAGCUACAUCCUUUUCCUUAAACCGGGUGCAACUGAAUCAGCAGGAGGUUGAAAUUCUGUGGCAUCUAAUCUUUACCAUGCACAGUAAACAAGUGGUGUAUGUUGUUCUCUUUUCCAAUUAUUGGAUGAGAAGCUGUGCCAUUUCAUCUAAUCUGUAAUAAAGGUUUUAUUCUUUUUCUAAGACUUAACAAGAAUCACUGUCACUUACUAGUUUAAUCAAUAAUUAAGGUAUCCACGUCAUGUGCACUAUGUCAUUUUCUUGAUAUUCUGAUCUUAUUAUUAUACAACAACCUAAAUUCUUUAAAGCAAAGCUUUGCUAUUUAGAGGUCUUGAGCACACACCCUUACGAGCCGUCCGAUCAGGAUCCCGAUCGCCAGGUGUUCCGUGGUCGGGUUUUACGGAGCGAAGGGAAACGCAAACGAACAACACACAGUGGAAGUGGGCCCCAACCAAACCCACACUCUCACAUCCACAAGCGCAUGCCUGUUUCUUCUCCCAAAUCCACCGCUGCGUUCGUCGAUCCGCGGCGCCGGCCGCGCCGCACUCCGCGAGCGCCUGCUUGUCUCCCUAGCCGGCGUCAGGGGCCAAGGUGACAAAUCCACAGGCUUCUCCCCCGCCCCAGAUUUUCGCUCGCCGAAUCCGUCGGCUCCUUGCUGCCGUCGUCUUCGCGGUCGCCGCGAUUCUCGACUCCGGCGACCUCCUCCCAGCCUCCCGCGACAAGGCCGUGUCCGUGUUGGCCGCCUUCGCGUCCUCCGAAGGCGAGCGCGCACCCAUCUCCACGAGGAAGGCGAGCGCGCACCACCCCCACGCUCCUCGUUCAGUGGCGCUGGCACCGACGCCGUUGUAGCGGGCCUCUUCCUCUCAAGCAUCUCGCCGCAGGCCACAUCAGGGAUGGCCUCGACCUCCUGCUGCUAGCUGCUGGUGCUGGCUGUAGCUUGAACUGGAGGUCUGGAGCAGAAAAAUUGCACCGAGGUAGCAGGUGGAUGAUGGUGUUGGUGCCUUUCUCUUGAAUUGUUGCUGGUGAUGGCUGCAAUUUAAAGGAGUAUUUUUUUCCUUUCUCUCCUUCCAUUUCUGUAAUUGUGCUUCCCCUAUGCGUGAUGAUGUUUCUUAGCACAAGGUGCAUUGGCUUGGGUUGAUCUGCUGUGAUAGUUCGGAGAGAUGAUAGUAGCAAGUAUAAACUCUCUACUAUGAUUAUAUUCAUAACACAUGGCAAAAAAGAGACUGCAUUAUUAAGUAAUCUGUUGUUUCGUUAUCAUUCUAAUUCUUUUUUAGCCACUAUACAUGUGUCAUGUAUGAGAACUUGAUAGAUAUUUGCUUAUCUGUGUCCAAGUGAUUACAGCAUAUAAUAAAGCGGGGAAAACAAGAUUUAUAUUGAGCAUUGUUUUUAAGGCGGUAAGGCGACCUAAGGCGAGCACCACCCGCUCUAGCGCCUAGGCGACGCCUAAGGCGGGCAUAUUUGUAAGGCGCUGCCCGGGCGCCUUGUCGCUUAAGCGUCGCCUAAGCGUCCAAUGCAGGACGCCUUAAAAACAAUGAUAUUGAGCUAUUAUACUCAUUUCUUCUAUUGGACUUGCUCAAACUUGCAUGAUUUUUUUGUUAGUAGUUGCCUUGUUCCUGCUAUUGGACUUGCUUAAUGGGUCGACGGGCUGUUUGUAUCCACUAUUUUAUUUUCUUCGGAAAGCAAGCUAAUGAGUUGGCUGCAGAAUCUAUGGAAAUUGUCUACAAACCCAGUAUGAGUUGCUGCCUUUUAAUCCCUUCUCUAAAGAAAACCUGGUUUGCUUGGAUAUAGUAUGCAAUUUGCUUAGAUUAGAGCACAACUUGCCUGCAAUAACUAAAGCAUUUGUCCAUGGGACACAACACAACUUGAUGUUCCGCAUAAUAUAGGUCCACAUUUAUUUGCCUGAAACUUGUAUGCAAAUUGCCUACAAACCAAGUUGUAGUUGCUCCUGACUUUCGCUAUUUAUUUUAAUUCGGCUAGCAAGCUGAUGAGGUUGCUACAUUAUCUAUGGAAAUUGCCUACAAACCCAAUACGAGUUGCUACCUUUCAAUCAUUUUUUAUAUGUGGUGCAUAUACUGGUUAGUAGUCUCCAUGUGUUUGUUAUUUUUUCAUAAUAAUUGCCUCAAAUUUCGUAUGUAGUUGCCUCAAAUAACACAUGAACCUUGCUCUUCAUUUAUUUUCCUUAACAUUUCAUAAUAAUUGGGGUAAUUUUAUACUUGAAGUUUAAAUGUGACAACACAUUAUCAUUGUAUGUUUUAUCUCUUGUUUUGCUACAUUGGGAUUUUUUUAAUUGGGGGUGCCGAAUGGGGGUAUUCUCCCCCCUGUUUUUUACAGCCACGUGCUUUCAUUUUUGAGGCGCCUCAUGUCAACGACAACACAUGCCUUAGAUGAUUUUGUCCAUGAUGAUCUGGUAGGAACUAAUGGAUGAACCAAGCAAAAAUGGCAUUCAAGAAGAUCAUUAUGCAGUUAAUCGUGAUGCUGAUCCCUCACAUGUGAUUGAAGAUCAUCACGAGGGCUAGAGAAGCACACCCUUUAUUGGGUACCAGCGUUGAGGAAGAAAGGAGAUUGCUGCCAGUGGCAAACGUCUGUUGGACAUCAACAGCAAUUCGAGUGUUUCCACAUAUGGUGAUUGAAAUUCUAAGAAAGACACUGUCGUGGAACAACCAUCAAAAGCAAAAUGUCAAAAGACCGGAUCUAACGAGAAUAAGAGAACAGGGCAUCGCCUGCAAGGCUUUUCAAGCUGAAUAAACUUCUUGUACCUGUUCAACAAGGCCAAGCUCAAGUCACUUUCAGUCAAUUUCUGACACCAGCCUUGUGCAGAUCAUGGGGAAAGGGAAAG